rnacentral:rRNA from 1 species
GGUCCGGCUAAUUACGUGCCAGCAGCCGCGGUAAUACGUAAGGACCGAGCGUUGUCCGGAAUCAUUGGGCGUAAAGAGUACGUAGGCGGUAUGAUAAGUUAGGAGUAAAAGGCACCGGCUCAACCGGCGUAAGCUUUUAAAACUGUCAUACUUGAGACAUUGAGGGGAAAGUGGAAUUUCUAGUGUAGCGGUGAAAUGCGCAGAUAUUAGGAAGAAUACCAGAGGCGAAAGCGACUUUCUAGCGAUGAUCUGACGCUGAGGUACGAAAGCGUGGGAAGCAAACAGGAUUAGAUACCCUGGUAGUCCACGCCGUAAACGGUGGGCGCUAGGUGUGGGUUUCCUUCCACGGGAUCCGUGCCGUAGCUAACGCAUUAAGCGCCCCGCCUGGGGAGUACGGCCGCA